AGUGAACGCUGGCGGCGUGCUUAACACAUGCAAGUCGAACGAUGAAGCUCUAGCUUGCUAGAGCGGAUUAGUGGCGCACGGGUGAGUAAUGUAUAGCUAAUGUGCCCCUUAGAGGGGGAUAACAGUUGGAAACGACUGCUAAUACCCCAUACUCCUUCUUCCUAUAAGGGAAGUUGGGAAAGUUUUUUCGCUAAGGGAUCGGGCUAUAUGGUAUCAGCUUGUUGGUGAGGUAAUGGCUCACCAAGGCUAUGACGCCUAUCUGGUCUGAGAGGAUGAUCAGACACACUGGAACUGAGACACGGUCCAGACUCCUACGGGAGGCAG
rnacentral:rRNA from 1 species